rnacentral:rRNA from 1 species
CCAGAGAACUUAGCAGAGAUGCUUUGGUGCCUUCGGGAACUCUGAGACAGGUGCUGCAUGGCUGUCGUCAGCUCGUGUUGUGAAAUGUUGGGUUAAGUCCCGCAACGAGCGCAACCCUUAUCCUUUGUUGCCAGCGGUCCGGCCGGGAACUCAAAGGAGACUGCCAGUGAUAAACUGGAGGAAGGUGGGGAUGACGUCAAGUCAUCAUGGCCCUUACGAGUAGGGCUACACACGUGCUACAAUGGCGCAUACAAAGAGAAGCGACCUCGCGAGAGCAAGCGGACCUCAUAAAGUGCGUCGUAGUCCGGAUUGGAGUCUGCAACUCGACUCCAUGAAGUCGGAAUCGCUAGUAAUCGUAGAUCAGAAUGCUACGGUGAAUACGUUCCCGGGCCUUGUACACACCGCCCGUCACACCAUGGGAGUGGGUUGCAAAAGAAGUAGGUAGCUUAACCUUCGGGAGGGCGCUUACCACUUUGUGAUUCAUGACUGGGGUGAAGUCGUAACAAGGUAAGCGUAGCGAG